GUGCUCACUUUGGCAGCACAUAUACUAAAGUUGGAAUGAUACAAAGAUCAGUAUGACCCCCUUACAAGGAUGACACACAAAUUUGUGACAUGUUCUAUAUUUUG
rnacentral:snRNA from 1 species